rnacentral:rRNA from 1 species
UACGUAGGGUGCAAGCGUUACUCGGAAUUAUUGGGCGUAAAGCGCAUGUAGGCGGCUUUAUAAGUCUGAUGUGAAAUCCCUGGACUCAAUUCAGGAACUGCAUUGGAUACUGUAAGGCUAGAGUAGAGGAGAGGUAGGCGGAAUUCCUGGUGUAGAGGUGAAAUUCGUAGAUAUUCGCAAGAACACCAGUGGCGAAGGCGGCUCACUGGCCCGGUACUGACGCUGAGGUGCGAAAGCGUGGGGAGCAAACAGG